CAGAUGUAGUUUAGUGGUAAAACUCCAGCCUUCCAAGCUGGUUAUGUGGGUUCGAUUCCCAUCAUCUG
rnacentral:tRNA from 1 species